GAUGAAGAACGUAGCGAAAUGCGAUAAGUAGUGUGAAUUGCAGAAUUCAGUGAAUCAUCGAAUCUUUGAACGCACAUUGCGCCCCUUGGUAUUCCAUGGGGCAUGCCUGUUCGAGCGUCAUUUUUACCUUCAAGCUCUGCUUGGUGUUGGGUGUUUGUCUCGCCUCUGCGUGUAGACUCGCCUCAAAACAAUUGGCAGCCGGCGUAUUGAUUUCGGAGCGCAGUACAUCUCGCGCUUUGCACUCAUAACGACGACGUCCAAAAGUACAUUUUUACACUCUUGACCUCGGAUCAGGUAGGGAUACCCGCUGAACUUAAGCAUAUCAAUAAGCGGAGGA
rnacentral:misc_RNA from 1 species